UAUCUUUUUAGUACUAAAAAGUAUAAGUGACUUCCAAUCACCCGGUCUUGGUUAAAAUCCAAGAAAAGAUAA
rnacentral:tRNA from 1 species